UAUUAGAAAGAAUACCAAUUGCGAAGGCAGCUUUCUGGAUCAUUACUGACACUGAGGAACGAAAGCAUGGGUAGCGAAGAGGAUUAGAUACCCUCGUAGUCCAUGCCGUAAACGAUGUGUGUUAGACGUUGGAAAUUUAUUUUCAGUGUCGCAGCAAAAGCGAUAAACACACCGCCUGGGGAGUACGACCGCAAGGUUAAAACUCAAAUGAAUUGACGGGGACCCGCACAAGUAGUGGAGCAUGCGGUUUAAUUCGAAGAUACGCGCAGAACCUUACCAACACUUGACAUGUUCGUCGCGACUUUAAGAGAUUAAAGUUUUCGGUUCGGCCGGACGAAACACAGGUGCUGCAUGGCUGUCGUCAGCUCGUGUCGUGAGAUGUUGGGUUAAGUCCCGCAACGAGCGCAACCCUCACUUUUAGUUGCCAUCAUUUAGUUGGGCACUCUGAAAGAACUGCCAGUGAUAAGCUGGAGGAAGGUGGGGAUGACGUCAAGUCCUCAUGGCCCUUACGUGUUGGGCUACACACGUGCUACAAUGGUAUCUACAACAGGAGGCAAAACCGCGAGGUUAAGCAAAUCCUUAAAAGAUACCUCAGUUCGGAUUGCACUCUGCAACUCGAGUGCAUGAAGCUGGAAUUACUAGUAAUCGUGGAUCAGCGUGCCACGGUGAAUGCGUUCCCGGGCCUUGUACACACCGCCCA
rnacentral:rRNA from 1 species